ensembl:snoRNA small nucleolar RNA, C/D box 97
AUGCCCAGUGAUUAUAAAAAGACGCGUUAUUCUGAGGGACACAACCAGCUGCUGGUCUCCUCCUCUGCUCUGCAUUCUGCCUUUACUCUCCUCCGUCUCUCCUGUCCCUCCUCUGCUCCUCUCUGUCUCUACAUUUCUAACCGGGAGCUGGUCCACUGAUUGCGAUUAUGAGAGCUGAGGGCGU